UACGUAGGGUGCGAGCGUUAAUCGGAAUUACUGGGCGUAAAGCGUGCGCAGGCGGCUUUGCAAGACAGAUGUGAAAUCCCCGGGCUCAACCUGGGAACUGCAUUUGUGACUGCAAGGCUAGAGUACGGUAGAGGGUGGUGGAAUUUCCUGUGUAGCGGUGAAAUGCGUAGAUAUAGGAAGGAACACCAAUGGCGAAGGCAAUCCCCUGGGCCUGUACUGACGCUCAUGCACGAAAGCGUGGGGAGCAAACAGG
rnacentral:rRNA from 1 species